UCCUCUGGGGAUCUUGUUAGCCUACAGAUUUGGAUUCUGUGGGGCCUGAGAUUCUGCAUUCCUAACAAGUUUCUAGGAGGUGC
rnacentral:pre_miRNA from 1 species